GCUUCUUUAGCUCAAAUGGUAGAGCAGCCCUCACUUGAAAUUGAAAUAUCACUCGGGAAGGAUGUUGGUUCAAAUCCAGCAAGAAGCA